ensembl:ncRNA lncRNA:CR45594 long non-coding RNA:CR45594
AGUCUCUUAAUAGCAGUUAAGAAAAGAAUCCAGUGUUAAUAUAUUGUUAAUAUAGUUUCCUACUUUUAAACACCGUUCAAAGUGAUUUUUAGACUCUAUUGACAUUUUUACGCACCUGAUGUUGCCUCAAAAUAUUUACCUCAGUGUGGCAGCAGCAAAAGGCAACCUUGUGCAGAACUGACUCUUAUGUUAGUAACCUAACCCAGUGACCCUACCACCCUGCAACGCCCAGUUCUAGUCAAGGUUGAUUGGCGACGACAGGUGCCCAUACACCCGUACACCUGCCCACUUCAAACUGGCCAUUCUGGCCACUUCUGGCCACGCGACUAAAAAUAAGCUAAAGGGCGGUCCUUGCUGGCAUUUCUAGUGUUUGUUUAGAUGCCCUUUUUGUUCCCAGAGUCACGAAUGUCGCACUCUUAUGGAGUCAAUGCGCCAAAUGCCUAGGUAAAUAUCAUUGUUGGUGCAGUGAUAUUAAUGUAGCAUGAUUGCAUGAAAAUGCUAAAGGUU